rnacentral:tRNA from 1 species
GCCGUCUUAGCUCAGUGGUAGAGCACUUCCUUGGUAAGGAAGAGGUCGUGGGUUCGAGCCCCACAGAUGGCUCCA